GCUCCACUAUAAAGUUUAAACAGAUCUUACUUUGGUUCAGACUUUAGAAACUGAUUGACAUCUGGGUUAUGUAUAUUUCACUUCCCACUUUCUGCAUGGUAAUCUUCUAAAUUUUAGCAACUUACCUUAUAAUUCCUUUAGGCUUGCUAUGAAGCCUGCCCCAGAUAAGUGCCUCAUAAAAGAAGAAUAAACAAAUGAAUGAAUAAAAGGAAAUACCAUACUACGGACUUUUGAAUAGAAAGAUUUUCUCUACAACACAUUAAAAGAAUGAACCAGCAGAACAAACUUCAAACUUUAAAACAAUGUUGUUUAAGUUAAUCAUGUCUGAGAUGAUAAAUAAAUCAACAGGAAAAAAGUGAACUUCAAAACGUGUAUCUUUAGGAAGAUUUGAAUUGGAAAACCACUGACACUUAAUUGCUAAAGUGACCUUUGACUAGUUAUUCAUCUAUGGAAUCGGAAGAAAAGUUACUUGAUUGUGUUGGCAUGAUGAUUAAAUAUGACUUAUGUACAUGUAAGUGCUGAGCACUAGUCUAUAACCUCUGUGGGCAUUGCGAUCACUAUGGCAUAUCCAGAGACUAGCUCAAUUUCUAGUACAUUGGAGGUACUUGAUAAAUGUUUCCUUAAUUUGAAAUCUGAGAACAGGACAUUAAGUUCUUUGACAUUAGAUCCAGCAGUUGAGAUACAUUUUGCUUGUGCUGCAGUUUUCUAUUAUGGGUAUGUAACGUGUCUAAUAAGGAAAUGAGAA
rnacentral:lncRNA from 1 species